CCCCCAAAAAAGCAACAUAGCAUGCGAGAAGUCUAGCCGAAACCACAAUAUGAACCGAACCUUGAUCGAAGCUAAAGUGGUCUUGGCAAGCCAAAGGCCCAGCCAACCUCGGCAAAAUCUUUGAACGACUUUCCCUUUCGAGAGAAUGCAUGGGUGCGCGUCUUACCCCUCCACAAAAAGGUCAACUACACUGGCCAGUAUAUCCGUGCCCUCAUCCAAAAUGGAAAGCGAACUCGGAGUGUCAGAACACAGCCUUGCUAUGGCCCAGUAUUGAAUUUUUCCCUCCUUUAUCGUUCAAGCUUUUGCCUCGUUAGAGGGCUGACGAUAAUUCUGCUGGGAGACUUCUUAGUUGUUGACUUUUUGAGGAAAUGGAUAUGUCAUAGCCAGAAUCCAGAUGCUUACAAUGCCGAAUUAUUCAGCAAAUGGUAGCACUCCACUGCAAACUCUGCAUCCUUUGCUAGGUGAAUUUUGCCCUUCCGCUGAUGCCAACCUUGUUGUUUUAAAGUUUGCGUGACGUCCUGGGGUGGCUUUUGUCUGAUGCGGUGAGAGCCUUUGCGAUGUAACACACAAGAUUUUCCAGAUCUCUUCCACGCGUUAUUGCUUAUUCUGCUGUGUCAGACAGAGAUUUGGAGGGCUUGGUUGCGUUCACAGGCACACGCGUUGCCUAACUUAUAUAUAAAACAUAUAAUAAAUUGGUAGAGG
rnacentral:sRNA from 2 species